ACGUGCAUUUUCAUCUCCAUUCGAAUUUGCCCAUCAAAACCCCCUCCUCCCUUAAUAACAAUCCGUGUCAGGUUCCUCUGCCAAGCGCCACCAGGUGACGCUGUGUCUCUCUUUAGCACCACCUCGCGCCGCCCAUCCCUCUGUCUUGUGCUGCCCGUCGUUCCUCCUCUGUCGCCUGUCAAAUUUACACAUCUCGUGUCGCCCCAGCACCUGCGUCGCGUCGCUUGCCCAGCGCCACCCCUCAACGACCAACUCUCUACCCAGCGCCACCCAUCGACGGUCACUUUCUCAAAAAGAAGGUUCGGGUUGUUGAAGAAAGUAUAUGAGAUCUCUGUGCUUUGUGAUGCUAAGGUGGCUUUAAUUGUUUUCUCUACCAAAGGGAAGCUCUUUGUGAGAGGUGACUCCACUAGGAGUACGAAUAUAUUUCAUCAAAGAGAAUUGCUUCCUUAUUCAUCCGAACCUCAGCCUCAUCAAUUUACAAUACUAGUAUGCAGUAUCCCAAUCCCAUCUGGAGGCACCUGCAGUGAAACUAUCGAGUUAUUCAGAUUAUGACAAGAAUUUUAUCAG